ACCCCGGUGGUGUAUCGGUUAACAUAUCCGAUUCUCAAAAGACAAGUGUCAUGAAUUCGGUUGCGCAGGGUUCGACUCCCUGUCGGGGUG